UACGGAGGGUGCAAGCGUUGUCCGGAUUUAUUGGGUUUAAAGGGUGCGUAGGCGGCCCUGUAAGUCAGUGGUGAAAUACUGCAGCUUAACUGUAGCAUUGCCAUUGAUACUGUAGGGCUUGAGUACAGAUGAGGUAGGCGGAAUUGAUGGUGUAGCGGUGAAAUGCAUAGAUAUCGUCAAGAACACCGAUAGCGAAGGCAGCCAACUAGGGGUUAACUGACGCUGAGGCACGAAAGUGCGGGGAUCAAACAGG
rnacentral:rRNA from 1 species